GAUGAAGAACGCAGCGAAAUGCGAUACGUAAUGUGAAUUGCAGAAUUCAGUGAAUCAUCGAGUCUUUGAACGCACAUUGCGCCCCCUGGUAUUCCGGGGGGCAGGCCUGUCCGAGCGUCAUUGCUGCCCUCAAGCACGGCUUGUGUGUUGGGCCUCCGUCCUCCUCCCGGGGGACGGGCCCGAAAGGCAGCGGCGGCACCGCGUCCGGUCCUCGAGCGUAUGGGGCUUCGUCACCCGCUCUUGUAGGCCCGGCCGGCGCUUGCCGACACAUCAAUCUUUUUUCCAGGUUGACCUCGGAUCAGGUAGGGAUACCCGCUGAACUUAAGCAUAUCAAUAAGCGGAGGA
rnacentral:misc_RNA from 1 species